AGGGUCGCUAAGCCGCGAGGUGGGGCCAAUCUCAUAAAACCGAUCGUAGUCCGGAUCGCACUCUGCAACUCGAGUGCGUGAAGUCGGAAUCGCUAGUAAUCGCAGAUCAGCAUGCUGCGGUGAAUACGUUCCCGGGUCUUGUACACACCGCCCGUCACACCAUGGGAGUGAGUUUCACCAGAAGUGGGUAGGCUAACCGCAAGGAGGCCGCUUACCACGGUGGGAUUCAUGACUGGGGUGAAGUCGUAACAAGGUAGCCGUAGGGGAACCUGCGGCUGGAUCACCUCCUUUCUAG
rnacentral:rRNA from 1 species